AUAAUUCCUAUGAUUUUCUCAGAUAAAAGUGCAGUAUCUCUUCUUAGCUUAAUAUCUGAUACGGUCCCUAUUUUGGGUCAUUGAUAUUAAACUGAUUUUUAGAAUUAGGCGAAUAGUUAGGGGCUUCCUUCGCCUUUCCUAUGGGUUGACAUGGUAUUGUAGUAUUUCCAGGAUUCAGCACUUAUCUA
rfam:Octopus bimaculoides Scaffold33541_contig_39, whole genome shotgun sequence.